UUUCCCUGUGGGCAAUUUAAAGAGGACUGGCAGAGCCCAGCCUUGGGCAGGCCAGAUGUGCCACAGGCACCAAGACUGGACCAACAUGGCAGACUUGGAACCAGGGAGAAUUUUAUACUGGAACCUGAGUGUGAACUGAGAUCCAAACAGAAGAAACCAGGGGGUGGAAAGAAAAGAGAUUAUUAUCAUUUUGUCACCAGCGGCGCCGCUGUCCCUAAACUCUACGAUGACUGAAUUGUUACCACAUACACAUCUGCGGAGAGAGCUUCAAAAGACAAAUGGAUUCCUAAUGCAAAGAAGAGAUUACAGACCAUAGAAACCGCAGGGCAUCCUACCCUCCCGUUCACCAGGAAGCAAGGAUGGUUACGACUCCCCAAAGAGGACGAAGGGGGGUUGCAGUCUCAGCCAUGUCCCCAGGCCCACAGCAAAUAGACAGCCACGCAGGGCUUCCUUCGAAGUUGGCUGGGACUCCUUCUGCUCUCCCGGCUUCCUACUGCCACCUCUUCAAGACUCCUGAGUCUCACUGUAACGUUAUUAAAUUAUUUAUAGUUU